ensembl:lncRNA
CAGGAGUGGUGACUGGUGGUGAUGACUAAUUAUGAUAGAAUCAAAAAUGUUUGAAUUUUGCUCUGCACCUAAUAGUCACAUGGUCACAUAGCAAAGGGAUGAAGAGAACAAUUUUCAGAUUACCCCAAGGAUAUCAGCCACCAUUGCAUUUCAAUUACAGGUAUGACCAACAUACAUCAUGCUUAAAUGUCCGUUGAUGAAGACCCCCUUAAAGACUUUCCAGAGAUGUUUAACUAACAAUCCGCAUGAUGUGGAGAGAAGAUGAAUAGGACAGAGAAGAUGACUCUCUGCAAACCAGAAGAGUGUUCUCACCAGAACCGGACCGUACUGGCACCCUGAUGGUGGACUUCUCAGCCUCCAGAACUGUGAGAAAUAAAUCGGUCGUUUAAGCCAGCCA